UUUCAGUAUCCGAGUUGUAAUUUGUAGAAGCAACUUUGGUGAUGGUCUUUGCAUAAGUUCCUUGGAAUAGGACGUCAUAGAGGGUGAGAAUCCCGUAUAUGGUGAAGAACCCACACUAUGUAAAGUGCUUUCGAAGAGUCGAGUUGUUUGGGAAUGCAGCUCAAAGUGGGUGGUAAAUUCCAUCUAAAGCUAAAUAUUGGCGAGAGACCGAUAGCGAACAAGUACUGUGAAGGAAAGAUGAAAAGAACUUUGAAAAGAGAGUGAAAAAGUACGUGAAAUUGUUGAAAGGGAAGGGAUCUAAAUCAGACAUGGUAUUUUGUGAUCAACAGUCUUUCGGGAUUGUGCACUCGCAUUUUACUAGGCCAGCAUCGGUUAGAAGGGGGUAAAAAAGAUUUUGGAAUGUGGCUCCUCGGAGUGUUAUAGCCAAAGUUAAUUGCCCCAUUUCUGACCGAGGACCGCGUCUUUUGACUAGGAUGCUGGCGUAAUGGUUUUGAUCCACCCGUCUUGAACAAACAGGAAACACA
rnacentral:rRNA from 1 species